CCUACGGGAGGCAGCAGUCGAGAAUCAUUCACAAUGGGGGAAACCCUGAUGGUGCGACGCCGCGUGGGGGAAUGAAGGUCUUCGGAUUGUAAACCCCUGUCAUGUGGGAGCAAAUUAAAAAGAUAGUACCACAAGAGGAAGAGACGGCUAACUCUGUGCCAGCAGCCGCGGUAAUACAGAGGUCUCAAGCGUUGUUCGGAAUCACUGGGCGUAAAGCGUGCGUAGGCUGUUUCGUAAGUCGUGUGUGAAAGGCGCGGGCUCAACCCGAGGACGGCACAUGAUACUGCGAGACUAGAGUAAUGGAGGGGGAACCGGAAUUCUCGGUGUAGCAGUGAAAUGCGUAGAUAUCGAGAGGAACACUCGUGGCGAAGGCGGGUUACUGGACAUUAACUGACGCUGAGGCACGAAGGCCAGGGGAGCGAAAGGGAUUAGAUACCCCAGUAGUC
rnacentral:rRNA from 1 species